CAAAAGUAUAAAACAAAGAGAAAGAAAGAGAGGGCCACAAAAAAUAAUGAAGAAGACAGAAAGAGACAGGAUAUCUCGUAUUCUUAUUCUUACUCUUAUUCUUGCUCUUGCUCUUGCU
rnacentral:ribozyme from 1 species